UAACACUCAUCAACCCUGUGACAUACCUAUAACGUUGCCUCGGCGGGAACAGACGGCCCCGUAACACGGGCCGCCCCCGCCAGAGGACCCCCUAACUCUGUUUCUAUAAUGUUUCUUCUGAGUAAACAAGCAAAUAAAUUAAAACUUUCAACAACGGAUCUCUUGGCUCUGGCAUCGAUGAAGAACGCAGCGAAAUGCGAUAAGUAAUGUGAAUUGCAGAAUUCAGUGAAUCAUCGAAUCUUUGAACGCACAUUGCGCCCGCCAGUAUUCUGGCGGGCAUGCCUGUUCGAGCGUCAUUACAACCCUCAGGCCCCCGGGCCUGGCGUUGGGGAUCGGCGGAAGCCCCCUGCGGGCACAACGCCGUCCCCCAAAUACAGUGGCGGUCCCGCCGCAGCUUCCAUUGCGUAGUAGCUAACACCUCGCAACUGGAGAGCGGCGCGGCCACGCCGUAAAACACCCAACUUCUGAAUGUUGACCUCGAAUCAGGUAGGAAUACCCGCUGAACUUAAGCAUAUCAAA
rnacentral:rRNA from 1 species